rnacentral:rRNA from 1 species
CCCUUAGACGUUCUGGGCCGCACGCGCGCUACACUGACGAAGGCAACGAGCUUUCCUUUACCGAAAGGUACGGGUAAUCUUUUGAAACUUCGUCGUGCUGGGGAUAGAUCCUUGCAAUUUUUGAUCUUAAACGAGGAAUGCCUAGUAAGCGCAAGUCAUCAACUUGCGUUGAUUACGUCCCUGCCCUUUGUACACACCGCCCGUCGCUACUACCGAUUGAAUGGUUUAGUGAGGCCUUCGGAUCCGCGACUCGUUUGUGGAGAAGUUGGACAAACUCAGUCAUUUAGAGGAAGUAAAAGUCAUAACA